UUCUAGAGCCUCAAACUCAUUCUUUAUGAGGGAAUGGGCAAAGAGGGCUCCAAACCGAGCUAAAGGGCAGGAGGACUGGGGCACAGUGGGAUGUCCCUAAGGAUGGUGAUGACAGGAACAGCAGCAAGUACUGCCCCUGCUGAGCUAAGGAAGGGCCAGGAGCUGAUCUAAAGGGCUUCACGUGUUUGAACUCAGCUGAAUUCUCACCGCAACACCAGGGGAUGAAUACCAUUGUUGGCAUCUGUGUAGGUUUAUGACUGACAACGGAGAGAGACUUGCUUAAAUCA